GAGCAGUGAUGAAGCGAUUGAGAAAGUCAUGCACCACUCUGAUUAUCAUGUGCUGAUAAAUUUCUCAUACCCAUAUACACAUCUGAGCCC
rfam:Jatropha curcas cultivar GZQX0401 scaffold86_69, whole genome shotgun sequence.